UCCAGAAUACUCUCCACAUGCCACGGGGCAUUGAAUGUAAUCCUCCCUCCCUGCUCUCUCUACGUCUCCCUUGUUUCUCCAAUCUACCAGACUUGGACGCCUCGUCGGCAAGAACGAGGGCCGGCGGCGGUGGCUCUCAUGCGAAUAAGCAAGUCCGGGGCGGAGGGAACCAGGGGCAGCCGAGCGGGUCCAGUAUCUCGCAGGGUCAGGGGCGGGUGUGGCGGCUCGCAAGAGCGACGGCGGUGGGAAACCGAGGCAGGUGCUGCGGCGAUGGUUCGCAGGCCGGCGCGGCCGCGAGAAUCAGGAAGGGUGGCGGCGGAAAUCAGGUAGGCGGUCCAUGUCCACUCCGAUUUGGCGUCCUUCCCCAUCCGAUUUGGCCUCCUUCCUCUCCAAUUUUGCAAGGUGAAAAGAACUGUGCUGCAUAUGGUCAUGUUUACUCCAAUUUGACCAGGGGAUCUGCUUUUCAUUUAAUAUGAUUAGAGAAGAGCACAUAUACACGAGAGAUGUACAUAUAUUAUCAUGAAUUAGUAGUUAUUACUUUAGGUGAAUCAUGUCUUGCCUUCUAUGUGAUAUACGGGUCGCUGUCACCGUCUCCCCAUUCCAGGGGAGCUGCCGCGCCGCCACCCCAAGGCUCAAAGCUGCACCAGAGAGAUGGCGUUGGCUGGCUCAUCCGCUGCUACCACAUCAGCAUCGAUACCUACUCCUUCCAAUGGCCGCGGUUCCGUCCGCAUUCUCUCUAAUAUAUCCUACAUAUAUACCCUCCAUAUAUUGUUUAGAUUGAUUCAUGGGCUAAUUAAAUUCAAUCAUGUCUUGUUCCGUUCGUUUGCAGGCCAUAAGGUGAGCCUACCAUUUUCUUCCUGCUGCUCUUCCAUACACGAAUACUUGGGAUGGGAUAACGUAGCUCCAAUUCAAUAUACAGUAAUUUUGAUGAUAUUUAUGUCUGACCAUAUGGGACUAUGAAGACCCUAAAAUAAUUUUUCCUGCUGAGCUACUUGAAGACCAAAGCAAUUGCACAUGGAACAUUUCGUAUAUGUAUUAUAUAGUGUCCUCAAAGGCCAUUUUAUGAUGACAAGGUGUCUACCACUAGAAGGCAUUCCUAUGCAGAACGAACUAUCUGAACUAUGAGUGUAGAUGCCCUUCUACAUGAUAUGAGUUGUCGAGCCACUAGAUGAGCUUCUUUCUAUUUGCAAGGGAGCAGGUGAUUUGCGAGCAAGUAGGUUGUUCAGUGUGGUGAAGAUUGCGAGCAAAGAGGAAGGGGGCGAGGUGGUGAAGAUGAGGGUGGUGGGUGCUCGUCAACUGUGCAUGCCUGUCACCGGUUGGUCUGAGUGGAACUACUGCCGCAAUAUGCAAGCAGCUCAGAUAAAGCAAGGAAGGCUAGAAGAUGCUCUUCGACAACACUGCGCCCUUCUUGGUCACGAGGUGGAGGCGGUGAAGCUGCUCGGACGGGGCGCGUUAGAGCCCUGGUUGUGGCCAAGCAUGGCCAAGAGGGCCUCGGGGGUAGAUGCAAAGCGCAUAAUGGUUGGCCAUGUAUGGAGUGCGAGGGACGAGCAGGUUACCGGCUACCGGCUGAGGUGCUUUUCGUUCACGCCCCACCGCUCACCCCCGCAUCGUAACCGACCUCCACAGCCGGCUGAGAAACCGGCGCCGCCCUCCGUACUUCUUCUUUAUCCUCUCCGGAGUACGGCAGCUCCAUGGGCGACCGCUUUCUCCUCCAGAAGCGAGACCCAGCGCCCAUCCCCAAGGUUCUCCGCUCGAGACGGACGGUACCAUGGCGGCGAGAUCAACCUGAAGCUCCUCAUCUUCCGUCUCCUAGGAUGCGGCAUGUCAGAUGCACGUAUGUGCUACAUGAUCGAUUAAGAUGUGGCGUGGGGGGUUGCUGGUCGCGGCAUGGGGUGUUCUGGGGACAAAUCCAACAUGGUGGAGCAUCCGUGCAGCGAGAGGAACAAGGAGCACGCUGCACUGUCUGGUUGAUUAGAUCAGUCGCCGAGCAGCAGAGAUUUGGCAAUGGCGAAGGAGCAGCAGACCACUCUGUGGGCAACGAGGAGUUGCGUAACGUCUGCCCAAUAACAGGAAGGAGGGUGUCGCCCGUUUGGCAGCCUGGCCGACCAGCAGCGCCGGCCGGCCACAAGGACGGAGAGGUGGCUUUCUGCGGGUCAAGUUUUGCGUAACAUGCCAGCAAGAGGAAGGAGGGUGGCGCCCGUUUGGCAGCCUGGCCGACCAGCAGCGCCGGCUGGCCACAAGGACGGAGAGGUGGCUUUCUGCGGGUGUCUGCUGCUGCAAGUUCGCUGUACGGUCGGUUUAUUUGGCUGGUGAGGAACCCUAAUUUCCUUGGGUCAAGUUGGCUGUACGAUCGGUUUAUUUGGCUGGUGAGGAACCCUAAUUUCCUUGGGUCCAUCCAGUGUCAUAUCCAUUGAGUUUGUUGGUGCACCUUCUCCUUGCAGCUAACAGCAGGACCGCUUGGGAAAACAUAAUAAGGAGGAGUAGAACAUGUGUUGCAGAGCUCCAUGUCUUACCUUCCUGGGAGCUCUUCCAGGAGGCCUGGAAGAUAUACAAAAACGUAUUCAGCUGGAUGCUACUCAUCUGAUGGGUUAUAUGCCUAAGCGAAGGUUCAAGCCCUGGUGCAGAAUUAUGAAAGUGUUCUUUUUUUUUGCCUGGAUUAUAGAAGUGCUAUCGCAACAUACAUUGAGUUACCUUUCUACCCAGCUUUUUGCCUUCUUGAUAUUAUAACAUAGGCUCACCUUUCUUUUUGUUGGAAUAGAUGUACAACACGCGUUUAGAAGUCUAACUGCAGUGAUGUUGGCAGGGACCAUUAAAACGACAUUUUGGCUUUCCCUAUUGAUGUAUGCAUGUGUCUGGCUCAAGAAUAUCGAGGAAAAUACUUACUUCAUGCAAUUCUUAUUACAAAUUUAUGGAGUCCUCUUCCGUCGAGCUUAUUGUCCAGUUUUUCCCCACAUUUAACUGCCGAAGUUCCGAUUUUGCCCAGAUGAAAUAGCAAGUGCAAGUGUGCACUGCUCGAAUUGUUCAUAUAUGUUGAUGCUGUCCUAGAUGGGGCUCUUCCCGUUUAAGUAUCAUUACGGUAAUCUCCCGGAUCCUACUUUUCUUGGUUGUUUCUAUUAAGCUGCACAUACUGAAGUUGGACUCUUAAAUUUAAUUGGGCUCAACUCAACAAAUCUGCAGCAGACGGUUAUGCUUACUCACUCCUCAACCUAUCUAUGAGAGCUAAAGUGGCCUAACGAAUUUUGUUCACACAGGAAAGGCAUAUGGCCAAUGCUUAGUUUCAUGUACAUUGUAAGGCACCAUCCUGACGGCUGUCUUCCCUAGCUGUAUCUUUUCUACUGCGUGUAAUUCUGCAUAUUUGCAAUGCAUGGGUGUGCAAAGAGUUGCAUUUAUUUUUCCUGUUUUUAUGUUCCAAUUCCGAAUGGAACACGCCAUCUACAUAAUGUAUUGUUUUAACUCGAUCCUUUUGAAACUGGUACUUACAGGUUCCCAGCACGUAGUUGCAUCUAUGCUGUUUGUUCUA